rnacentral:tRNA from 1 species
GCCUCCGUGGUGUAGUGGUCAGCACGCUUGACGCGUAACCGAGAGGUCCGUGGUUCAAUUCCCGGCGAAGGCG